rnacentral:tRNA from 1 species
GUCCAGGGAUGGGAAUCGAACCCACAGUGUUCUGUUAACCAGGCAGAUGCCAUGUCCACUAGGCUACCCUGGA